UAUGAAGUUCAGGAUAUCUACCAUCAGCCCUCUCUUGAUGAUAUAAAAUCUCAAGUCUCCUAUUGGUUCUAAUAAAUGCAUGAUCAGUUGGACUUCCUCUGCUAAAAAGAGACCUCGUAUGCACGUGCUACUUUACAGUAUUCACAUCCCUCAUGUCAUUCAGACGACGAGCUCUAUAAGAUAGAGAGUCACGCAUUUGAGGAGCUAUUGAUUCUUCAGACCUCGUUCUAUCCCCUGUACAUAACUGGAGACCUGAGAUGAGAUGAAUCUUUAUGACCAUUGAAUCCUUCCAUCAAUCUCCUCCGUCGAGAGGAACAAGUACGGGAUCUAACAGGAGAUUUAGAUUGCAUUCGAGGAAACAACUUCUCUUGAUCACGGAAACUUUGUAUUACUCUGAACGGAAUGAAAAUCAGGUCCAUCGUACAUAGAUUGUUGAUGACUAUAAACAACUGGAAAGAACCUAUUAAACUUCUCACUAUGCUGAACACCG
rnacentral:misc_RNA from 1 species